rnacentral:rRNA from 1 species
GACGAACGCUGGCGGCGUGCUUAACACAUGCAAGUCGAACGGAAAAGCCCUGCUUGCAGGGUACUCGAGUGGCGAACGGGUGAGUAACACGUGGGUGAUCUGCCCUGCACUUCGGGAUAAGCCUGGGAAACUGGGUCUAAUACCGGAUAGGAGCCAUUUUUAGUGUGAUGGUUGGAAAGUUUUUUCGGUGUAGGAUGAGCUCGCGGCCUAUCAGCUUGUUGGUGGGGUAAUGGCCUACCAAGGCGGCGACGGGUAGCCGGCCUGAGAGGGUGGACGGCCACAUUGGGACUGAGAUACGGCCCAGACUCCUACGGGAGGCAGCAGUGGGGAAUAUUGCACAAUGGGCGCAAGCCUGAUGCAGCGACGCCGCGUGGGGGAUGACGGCCUUCGGGUUGUAAACUCCUUUCGCUAGGGACGAAGCUUUUUGUGACGGUACCUAGAGAAGAAGCACCGGCUAACUACGUG